ACCAAAAUCCUGUCAGCUCCUGUUCAUGGACUCACUGCUGAAGAGAAAAAGUUGAUGUGAAAUGUGAAGAGACACUUGGGGGAGAACAAGUUUUAAAUUCUGAUUCACAAAAACCUUGUUUUGAUGAAAAUAAUCCUGAUCUUAUUUUGGGACAAAGUAUUUUUAGCAUGUUACUUUCUUUAGCUGGUAAUGGGCCUGAUGUUUUGGGCAA